GAUGAACGCUGGCGGCGUGCCUAAUACAUGCAAGUAGAACGCUGAAGGAGGAGCUUGCUCUUCUGGAUGAGUUGCGAACGGGUGAGUAACGCGUAGGUAACCUGCCUGUUAGCGGGGGAUAACUAUUGGAAACGAUAGCUAAUACCGCAUGACAACUGUUAUUGCAUGAUAACUGUUUGAAAGAGGCAACUGCUCCACUACUAGAUGGCCCUGCGUUGUAUUAGCUAGUUGGUGAGGUAACGGCUCACCAAGGCGACGAUACAUAGCCGACCCGAGAGGGGGGGCGGCCAAACUGGGACGGGGACACGGCCCAGACCCCUACGGGAGGGAGCAGUAGGGGAACCUUGGGAAUGGAGGGAAGGCUGAACGGGGAACGCCGGGUGAGUGAAGGAGGUUGUCGGGUCGGGAAGAUCUGUUGUAAGAGAAGGACGAGAGGGGGAGUGGAAAGUGCACACUGUGACGGUACCUGAACAGAAAGCGACGGCUAACUACGUG
rnacentral:rRNA from 1 species